UCGAUUUUGCGCUAUACGCCCUGUGUGCAUGUGUUACAGGUCAUAAACAGGCAGGAAUGUUCCUAUUGGAGGGAAUCCAGGACGCUCCAACCAUCUGCCUCAUCUCCGGCCUCCCUGUGGAAAAAGGCACGAGGAAGAAGAGUUUCCCUACACGGUUGGAUAAAAGUUGAAUCACAAAACACCAGAACAACAGCGCUGCAAAAGCUGACAAGACGGCAGGGGGAACAGAGGUUGAAAGAGAAAGAGCGAGCGGGAGACAGAGCUGGCGCUGGGGGACCGUUACAGCAGAGCGGCACAAAAGCAAAGCAGAGCAAAGCACUCAGACCACCAGAUUUAUGCAGGAAACAGAAGGAGAGAGUGGUUAUUAUGUGGUGGAUCACAAUGUGCAGGUCAGGGACAUUUCAAUCUGACUUUGAUAUGUCUGUUAGAAAAAGAGACCAAAUUCAGACUUUAUGGGUUUUGCAUGCUGAAAUGUCAUUACAGUCACUUUCUGAUUACAGAAAAUAGGUAUGUAAUUGCAUAGAGCAUUUCUGCUCAGUAAAUACAACGCUACAGCCAGGGGAGAGUUAGCUUAGCAUAGCAAAAAGUGUGAAAAAUAGGGCGAAACAGUUUGCCCCGGCUGCCCAGGUUCUUGGCCUGAAGCAGUGACAUCCUGGUGUCUCAUAGUGAUGACAACUGGAUGUGAGGUGUUAAUUAAAGAGAUUUAACGGGGCUGCAAAGAAAACAGCCAAGUGUCUUGGCUCCAGCAAUGAGCGCAAGCGUGGUUUGAAUUGUUUCCUCUAAUUCUUGACAAGAAUGCAAAUGCGCUUGCUGCCUAAAAGGUCAAACCGUUCCUUUUGACCCUCAAACCAAGAAAACUAUGGUCGACUUGACUGAGGACAAUUUUUGAGAGGGACACGGACAUGGAAAGAUAGUGAAAUCCGAGUGGAACAGUCGGAGAAAAAAAAGAGAUCACCACAACUUGAGCUGAAUCCCAGGCCAGCUCAUCUGCUUAACAAAAUCUGGAGCAGAAGUAAGAAGACCGCCGAAGCAAAAGUUCACCGCUGUCCAACACGCUGCUGCAACGUUUUUGUUUAUUUGCUGUGGUAGCCUCUGAAUUGAAAGUUAUUAAACUCAGUGCUAGCAUUGAAAUUCAAAUGGUGGUGUAGUGAUGAGACUAAGAGGGUGUUUUAAUGGCGGGUGAAACAAAGAGACGAUAAUGUUUCCUCUUCAAAUCGGCAGAGAGAGUCAAGGUGUCUCCUUCAAAGACAGACAGACAUGAUGAGAAUGAUUGAAAGAGUUUAUGACAGAGUGAGGGAGAUGAGAGAGUGCCUCGAUGCAAGGACAAGAAGUAUGACAAUGAAGGCGAGAGAUGAGAGAGACAAGUGAUGGGAGAAGAAAAAUAGGCAUGCAGUACUAACCUUGAGGCGAGACUGGGUACAGCAGUGUUGCAUUGUAAAGAUAAAAGAAAGAGGAAGAGAAAGACAGAC